rnacentral:rRNA from 1 species
UACGUAGGGGGCUAGCGUCGUCCGGAUUUAUUGGGCGUAAAGAGCGUGUAGGCGGCCAGGCAAGUCCGACGUGAAAUCUGGAGGCUCAACCUCCAGCGGUCGUUGGAAACUGUCUGGCUAGAGUCCGGAAGAGGAGAGUGGAAUUCCUGGUGUAGCGGUGAAAUGCGCAGAUAUCAGGAAGAACACCGAUGGCGAAAGCAGCUCUCUGGGACGGUACUGACGCUGAGACGCGAAAGCGUGGGGAGCGAACAGG